CUAGUACUGAACGAAAGAGAAGUUAGUUGACCUGUUCAUGCUCUUCGUCGGCGUCGUCAUUCUUCAGAGCACAGUCUUACAGUAAGCAGGUGUCGUCAUUCUUCAGUUAUGAGUCCGUACAAAAUAUAGUAUGGCAUCAUACAAACAGAGUAAUUUGUAUCUUCAUCUUUUCCUGCACGCAUAGGUGAAUCUGAAUGCAUAUACAGAGCACUAGUCAUUUCAUCAAUCUGACGUGUAACAGUUUGUCAACCGGUAGAGAACUAAGGAAGCCUUGAUAUGAACAGGGGUACGUGUAAAUAUAUGUGAGGCUUGAAUUGCAUGUGAACAGGGGGCGGUAAGUCCAGAACAGAACAUCUAACAUGGUGGCUACGUAAACAGAACGAGAUGUGGCGUGUAGCUUAAAAAUACGUGGGAACAUACUGAAAGGAACAAGAUGGAUAGAAAUCCGAUCGGCCAACUUUGAGAGAAUCCAAAUCUGAGCCAAAUUUGAACCAAAUAAGAAACAGAGCAAGAUUUGAGCCGUACCUGCAGAGUGUUGCUUGUGGUGGAACUGGCGGGAGUUUCUUGCUGGGAUUCGGUCAGCAAGAAUUCUAAGUGUAAAGGACAUCGUCUUGGCUGUUACACA
rnacentral:lncRNA from 1 species